rnacentral:rRNA from 1 species
AAUCAACGCUGGCGGCGUGCCUAACACAUGCAAGUCGAACGCGAGAGGGGCUUCGGCCCCGAUUGAGUGGCGAACGGGUGAGUAACACGUGGGUGACCUACCUUCGAGUGGGGGAUAACAUCCCGAAAGGGAUGCUAAUACCGCAUAACAUCCCGCUUUUGAAUAGGCGGAGAUCAAAGCCGGGGAUCGCAAGACCUGGCGCUUGUUGGGGGGCCCGCGUCCGAUUAGCUAGUUGGUGAGGAACGGCUCACCAAGGCAACGAUCGGUAGCCGGCCUGAGAGGGCGGACGGGCCACACUGGGACUGAGACACGGCCCAGACUCCUACGGGAGGCAGCAGUGGGGAAUUGUUCGCAAUGGGCGCAAGCCUGACGACGCAACGCCGCGUGGAGGAUGAAG